rnacentral:rRNA from 1 species
GAUGAACGCUGGCGGCAUGCCUAACACAUGCAAGUCGAGCGGCAGCGAGGAGUGCUUGCACCCUGUCGGCGAGCGGCGGACGGCUGAGUAACGCGUAGGAACGUGCACCAAAGUGAGGAAUAACUGCCCGAAAGGGUAGCUACUACCGCAUAUUAUCUGCGGAUGAAAGGAUUUAUCCGGUUUGGGAGCGGCUCGCGUCGGAUUAGGUAGUUGGUGAGGUAAUGGCUCACCAAGCCGACGAUCCGUAGCUGGUCUGAGAGGAUGACCCGCCAGACUGGAACUGAGACACGGUCCAGACUCCUACGGGAGGCAGCAGUGAGGAAUCCUCCACAAUGGGCGAAAGCCUGAUGGAGCAACGCCGCGUGCAGGACGAAGGCCUUCGGGUUGUAAACUGCUUUUAUAAGUGAGGAAUAUGACGUUAACUUAUGAAUAAGGAUCGGCUAACUACGUG